GUGCCCGCCGCUUCAGCAGCACAUAUUCUAAAACUGGAAUGACACAGAGAAGAUCAGCAUGGCCCCUAAAAAAAAGGAGAAAAAAAAUCUUUAAAAAAAGGAAAGCAAUCUCU
rnacentral:snRNA from 1 species